CUCGUGUUUGGACAAUAUUUUUUGAAGUGUUUCUGUUAAAUUUGGAUUAUUAAUUUCGAUGUGGUUUUAAAAGCUUGGAAUAAUAUUGCGAAAAGGUAAGUUGGAGUGUAAAUAUAUUUUUCAUAGUUGCACUUUCAAUCUUUAUUAAAUUUGUUAUUGAUUUGACCCAGAUAAGUACCGUGUCGUGACCCUUUACCUGCUAAAGUUUGUAAACAAUGUACACACAUGAUUGAGCGUACAAGUGUCGAAGUACCUAUAUAUUGACAAAGACACACACACACACACUACAUCUACUAAUAUAUCUGGAUACCCACAUUAACAUUCAUAGAUAUUAAUAAUUAUUGUACAAACAAACAAAUUCUGCACAUACAGUCAUACUUGUUCAGUGUCACAUGAUACAUUUUACAAACAAAUUUCUUUCCAUAACUUUCACACAUACUCAUACCUUAGGCAUAGCACUUACAGAUAAUUACUUGCAUAGUACAUUUAUAAUAAAGGAAAAAAAAUCACAUACAAUCACACAUAAUCUAGAUCUAUACUAUAGCAUCUGUUGGUUUUUUUACUAUACAUGUAGCUUAAGUUAACUAUAAAAUGACUUCAUUAUUAUUCUUCAAAAUAUUCAACACCUUUGUUAAUAAACUGCUGAUCUCUAUAUUGGUCAUACUAUAUAAUUCUACAGUAUUUUCUACCUCAUAUUCAAAAAUUUUAAUGUGUCUACUGCUUUGGUUUUUUUUUAUUGGAAACAUAAUGUGUUUUAUAGACUGAAAAGAACAUUAAGCUAAGCAAAUGAUUUAGCGCAUAGUAUGCAUCGUCAUGAAUUUUGUAUCCUAUAAACAAUCAAUGAAUGAAGACUUAUACAUGUUCGCCUAUGAAGACUUUUUUAAGUAAAACUUUCAUUGAUUUCCAGAAUGUUUUAUGAUAUGAACAUGUAAUGAAAAAAUGAUUAUAAUUAUCUAUUUCAUUGCAAUAUGAACACAAAUUGUUUUGUGAAAUUUUCCACUGAAAAAGCAGCACCUCAUUUGGCAAAAUAAAGUGCAUUAAUUUCCACCUAAACAUUUUUAUUUUAUUAUCUUUAAGAUAUUCAAAAUUAAAUUUAAUAGAGUCUUUAAAUUCAUUUAUUAGUCUCCCUUUGCUUAAGACUCUUUCCCAUUUCAAAAAUCCUACUGGUAUUUCUGUUUUUGACACACUUAAUACUAAUUUGUAUAUGUUUUUAGCAUUAAUAGUUAGAACAUCAUUACAAUCUCUAAGUUUAGUUUUUGUUCGGUUGAUGUGGACUUUUGUUUUGAAUGAUUCUUCUGAUUUUAAUUUGUCUGUCCAUUGCUUUGGUAUAGAUUUUUUUAGUUUUGAGUAUUCAGAAAUCCAAUUCCUUUUAUUUCUUAAUUUUGAAGUAAUCAUUUCUUCUGAUAUAUUUCCUCUUUUAUCUAUUAUGUCAUUUAUAUAUAGUAUGUUACUAUCAAUCCAGUUAUCAAAGAACAAACAUUUUCCUUGAAAUUUUAUGAAUUUAUUUCCCCAUAUAACUUGUUUUCUGAUUUCUAAAUAAUUAUUGAUUUGAUCAUGAUGAUUGUUUUCACAAUUAUUUACAUUUAUCCAUGUUUUUAUCAUCUCUUGAUAGAAGGUUGGUGUACUGUUCCAUAUGUUUUUAUCUAGCAAUUUUGUGUUAUUUACAUUCAUCUUGAAAAUAAGAAGGUUUUUUCCGAAUUUAUUAAGGUAUAGUUUUGAUAAUACAGACCAAUUUGCAUUUUCUGAUUCUAAUAUUUUUAUAAUCCAUUUUAAAUGUAUAGAUUUUAUAUAGGAUUCUAUAUCAAUCAUUUUUAACCCCCCUUCUGCGAAGUUUUUUGUUAUUAUUGACCUUUUUUAUUUUAUCUUUUCCUCCGUUCCAAAUGAAUUUAUAUAAGAUUUUAUUUAUAUUUUGUAGAUUUUCUUUAGUAAUGAUACUGUUAGUCGCAAUGUAGGUUAUAUUUGGUAGAAGAAGAGCUUUUACUACUAAUAUUUUUCCAAGUAUUGUUAACUUUCUUUUUGCCCAUCUUUCUACAAGUUUCGUUAAUUUGUCCAACACUUUUUCAAUAUUUAAUGUUUGACACACUCUUUUUUGUCAUACCCAAAAUAUAUUCCAAGGCUUUUGAUUGGUUUGUCGGUCCAAUUUAUAUUUUCAUAUUUAUCUUUUGAACUUUUUAGUCGUCCUAACCAUACCCCUUCAGUUUUAUUUCUAUUUAAGCUUAAGUCCUGAAAAACUUCCAAAUGUUUCAAUUAUACUGAGAGCUAAACUUAUUUCUUUCCUUGACUGAAGAAAAAGUGUUGUAUCGUCAGCUAAUUGACAAAUUUUUAAAUUACAAGAUUUUCCAUCUAAUGUAAUUUUUAUACCUUUAAAAUCUUUAUUACUUCUAAGUCUUAUUGCCAUUAAUUCUACUGUUAUAACAAAAAAAGUAACGCUGAAAUCGGACACCCUUGUCGUAUUCCUCGAUAUAUUUUGAACGGACCUGAGACCCACCCAUUAUUUAAGAUACAUCCCUUAAUGUCGUUAUACAUAGUUUUCACCCAUCUGAUAAAGCUACUUUUAAAUCCAAACCGUUUCAGUGUUUCCGUCAUGAAAGUCCAUUCUAGUGAGUCAAAAGCUUUACUAAAAUCUAAGAAAAGGAUUGCUCCUUCUAUAUUAAAUUUCUCAGAAUAAUCUAUUAUAUCUUGAAUUUGUCUGAUGUUAAAACCAAUAUAUCUAUUUUUAACAUAUCCUGUUUGAUCUAGACUAAUAAUAGAUGGUAGUACUUUUUUAAGUCUCUGAGCUAACACAUAAGCUAAUAGUUUAGUAUCAAUGUUUAAUAAAGUUAUGGGACGAUAAUUAUCUAAUGAAAGAGGAUCAUUCUUUUUAAAAAUUAGUGAAAUUGCACCUUUCUUUUGUGAGUUUGUAAGUUCUUUUUUUUCAUAAUUAUAAUUAAAUACUUUGACAACAAUAUUUUUUAGGCUCGUCCAAAAUUGCCUAUAAAAUUCCACUGUCAGUCCAUCAAGACCAGGGGAUUUAUUAAGCUUCAUUUUAAAAAUUGCAUCAGUGCAUUCAAUUUCUGUUACUUUCCCUUCACAUUGAUUACUAUCUGAAUCUUUAAGCGUUUUUGUUAAUUUUGUUUCAUUAAUAUAUGUUUUAACUUCAUUAUCACAAGGAUUAGUUGACUCAUAAAGUUUUUUUGUAAUAUUUCACUUGUAGAUUUAGAAUUUUAUCUUGAUCAGUUGUUGCGAGCCCAUUUUCAUCAUAUAGUUCAGUUAUAAUCUUUUUUGUUUGACGACUUUUUUCUAGUCCCAAGAAGUAUGCACUAUUUUUUUCCCCUUCUUCGAACCAUUUUACCCUUGAUCUUAUUUUUUGUCCUUUAAUUUUGUCUUUAUAUAAACAACUCUAGAUCAUUUUCCACAAUUCUCAAUUUCUUUUUGUAAUUUAUGAUUUACAUCUGUACCAUUAUUUGCUUUAUUAUUGAGAUCAUUUAGCUGUUUUUCUAGGAUAUUUAUUUUAUCUUUUUUUUAAUUUGGCUUUUUCUUUUACAAUAGUCUAAACUUGCAUCUCUUACCUCUAUUUUCAAAUUGUCCCAUAGUAUCCCUAAAUCAUCACAGUUAAUUGAUUCAUUUUCAUAUCUGUUUAUUAAUUUGUUUAUUUCAUUUACAUAGUCAUCAUUAUUUAAAACACUGGAGUUUAAUUUCCAGUAGCCACGCCCCUUAUUUCCUCUUUCAGUAUUAAUUUUUAAUGAUACUGCAUUAUGGUCAGUUAUUUUCUGUACUAAAGGUCUAAUAUCGCAGCUUUUACAAUUUUUUUUUGUACUUCUUUUGAAAUCAGAAAGUAAUCAAUUCUGGUGGCUUCUGAUCUAUCUUUCCUACACCAAGUAAAUUGCCUUAGAUUUUUAUUUCUACUUCUCCAAAUGUCUGUCAAUUUACAUGAUUUUAUAAGCCCUUUUAAACCUGUUAACUGGUUUAUCAAAUUUUUUAGAGGAUUUAGUUUUAUUUUUUGUAUCAAUUAAUGACCAGAUGUCGUUAAAAUCUCCCCAAGAAUUGUUUGACCUAAUCCAUAUUUAUUUAUAUAUGAUUUAACUGUUUUGAAAAAAACUAUUUCUUUCUCUUGAUCUAUUUGGAGCAUAGAUAUUUACUAGCGUGUAAAUAUUUUCAUUUAUUUCAAUAUUAAUCAAAAUAAAUCUGCCAUCAGAAUCUUUGUGCUCAUCAAUAAUUUUAAAAUUUAUUCUAUCUUUUAUCCAUAUUGCUACUCCGCGUGAAUUACUUGUACCAUCACUUCUGAAAAUGUUUUUACCAAGUUCUUUAGACAAAGUAUCUUGCAUUUGUUUAGUAAAAUGAGUUUCCUGUAUAAAAAGUUAUAUCACAUUUUUGUUGAUUUGCCCAACUUACUAUUUUAUUUAUUUUUUCAGGUUGCUGUAGGCCAUUAGCAUUGACCGUACAAAUAUGCAAAUAGUUUUUCAUGGUGGUUUAUAGUUGGAUAUUUUAAAUUUCAUACAAUAGCAUGGUGAGUUAUCUUUCUUACCAUUAACUAUGAAACGCUUUUUUUUUAUUUUAUAUUUUGUUAUUUUUCUUUGACUGACUUAAAACUAAAUUCUUUUAGUCUUGUUUCUGUACAAGAAGACUUAUUUAUAGGGCAGUUUACAUACUGAUAUAGCAUUUGUUUUACCUGAGAAAUACCGUUAUACGCCUCACUGAUUGCGAUUGGUUUUUCAGAUCGUUGGUAUUUAAACGAUGAAUUUAGGUCUGUGUUUGUUUUUUUCUCAAGUAAUACCGUUUGUUUACUAUCUUCUCUAUGUUUAUAGUCGGUGUAUUCCUGAUUAAUAUUUUAACAGUUUAUUUUCCCGUACCGUAAAAUGUAUUAUGCUAUCGAUCUUUUCCAUAAUUAGCAUUGAUAACCUAUUCUCAUGAUGAUUAUAUUCGUCAAGUAUAUGAUGUUUGUUUUGCAAUAGAUUUAGACUUUCGCUGUCCAGGUACGCUUGCUCUCUACUUUUAGUUUUGUACGUUCUAUAUUUUGACCUCAACGUUAAAGUAUUUAUAGAAUUUCUGGUCAAGGUUAUUUCAUCCGCUUUUGAUGGAGACUUUUUAAGAUGGAUUAAUAUGUUUUCUCGAUCAGGAUAUUUAGUAGCAGAUGGUAAAUACUUUAAUUUAAUAUUAUAGUAACAUGACAUAAAUAUUAUCAUCGACAUGACUAGAUUCUCUAGUACACAAUAAAAAAAACUAAUUGCCACUUUAUUAAAUACACAUACAUUAAUGUACUUUUUAUUUUUAUUUGUCUUUUUCUUUUUCAGGAUAAAACUUUCAUGAAGAACAGACCAUUUAUAAUCUUCAUUAUUGGAAUUGAUUAGACUAUCUGUCAGUCUGAAUAUUUUAAGUGGACAACCUUCAUCAGCUGUGUCACACACAACAUUUUGAGACAUAUCUCGAAUAAUAUAUAUACAGUUAAAAAUAAAUGAAAUCAGUGCUAUACAUACUGUUUUGUGAAAAAUAUGAUUGACAAAAUGCAUUUUUUUUUUUUUUUUAUAAUUUAAAA
rnacentral:lncRNA from 1 species